UUCCCGCUUUCUCUGGUUUCUCCAUCGUAGGAGAGGACUCGAGUGAGCCGCGGGGAGCUGCCGCCGCGCCACAGCCACCGCAGGCGAUGAAGCGCUUCUUCCAGCCCGUGCCCAAGGACGGCUCCUCAGCCAAGAAGAGGCCCGCAGUCGCUACCGACUCGUGCGAUGGCCCCGCCGCGACCGGCGCCGGUGGGGAGGAGGGGAGCCCCGGCGAGGAGCCGUGCAAGUUCCUGACGUGGAACGCCAACAGCCUGCUCCUUCGGAUGAAGAGCGACUGGCCCGCUUUCUCGCAGUUCGUCGCCCGCCUCGAUCCCGACGUCAUCUGCGUGCAGGAAGUGCGGAUGCCGGCGGCUGGUUCCAAAGGGGCACCUAAAAAUCCUAGUGAACUGAAAGAUGACACAAACUCAUCACGGGAUGAAAAGCAGGUAGUUCUGCGUGCUUUAUCGAGUUCACCUUUCAAAGACUACCGUGUCUGGUGGUCUCUUUCAGAUUCAAAAUAUGCAGGAACAGCUAUGUUUAUAAAGAAAAAGUUUGAACCUAAGAAGGUGUCUUUUAACUUGGAUAAAACAUCUUCAAAGCAUGAAACGGAUGGGCGUGUUAUAAUUGUGGAAUUUGAAUCGUUUCUCUUACUGAACACUUAUGCUCCAAACAAUGGAUGGAAGGAGGAGGAAAAUUCAUUUCAAAGAAGACGUAAGUGGGACAAGAGAAUGCUGGAAUUUGUUCAAUGUGUAGACAAACCCUUAAUCUGGUGUGGGGACUUGAAUGUCAGAGAGCAUCCUGUGCUGCCUCUGCUGAGGGCUUCUGUGAGAUGUCCACCGCGGCACCAGAAAACUGCACAGAUCUACGUCCUUUUCUGCUUCAACACACGACGCCGAACUCCAAUUCAUGAAAUGUGGAUGAGCCCAGUCAUGAAGAAAUCGAUGUCAGCCAUCCUGAUUUUUUUAGUAGUGCUAAGCAGAAUGGAUAUACCCCACCAAAUAAAGAGGACUGUGGACAGCCAGGAUUCACCCUAGCAGAGAGGCGUCGCUUUGGCAACAUAUUGUCCCAGGGAAAGCUGGUAGAUGCUUACAGACACCUGCAUAAAGAAAAAGACAUGGACAGUGGCUUCUCUUGGUCCGGUCAUCCAAUUGGCAAGUACCGGGGAAAGAGAAUGAGGAUCGACUAUUUCAUUGUUUCAGAACAAUUGAAGGGCAGAGUAAUUUCAUGUGAAAUGCAUGGCCGUGGAAUUGAAUUAGAAGGAUUCUAUGGUAGUGAUCACUGCCCUGUUUCACUUGAGCUCUCCAAAGCAGCAACAGAAGUACCAGAACCCCCCAAGCCGUCCAGCUAAAACUUGUGUGCUGCUCUCUUGACCUGUCACUCAUCAUGGUAGUUAUUAGGGUUGUUGAGUAGACUAGUGUUGGGCCCAGGCAUGGCCAUUGUUUGACAUUUUCCUGCGGUAUCUGAACAUGCCAUUCCAUGCAAAUGUGCAAUGCUUGCUCAGAUGCUCUAGCUGGGAUCUGAUUGUAUUUAUGAUCCAGCAGGCUACAAGUACUAUGGUCAGACACUAUGAGUUCAGGGCUCCAUUGCCAUUUAAGCAAUGCAACUUCGACAUCUCUCCUAGAGCCAUCCCAUUGUCUUGCAGAUGUUUGUCUAAGUUGUAGCGAAUGUUUGCGUGGCAAAUUAUGGAAACCAAUUUGGCAUGCUAUAAAACAUCUGCGCUUCUUUAGGUGUUGACAUUGCUUUAUUAGAAUUCAAAGGAAGGAAAGAGAUGCAAGAACUUGAUUCCUUUCUUGCGAAA